UCAGGUGGGUUUGGCAGUUGCAGUAUAGUUUUAUUCACGUGAUACCAAUUGUUGCACAAUUCAUAACAACAGUUGGAGCGGUGGUAAAAAUGUCUUUGAAGGCUGUGUAGGCCUCAGAGGACCAAGUGAACGGCACCUUAGUGAAGGUGAGACAGCUGGUUGUUCAACACAGGAAAACAGCUAAAGAACAUGAAAAUAAGAAUCCAGAACAAUUUGAGAAUCUGGACCUUGGCACCUUGAAGGAUCCAGCACUGCAAUCAGCAGUAAAAAGACGCGGGAGGCCUGCAGCACAAAAGCAACCAGAAACUCAUGUUAUUUAUACUACCAACAGAUAGACUCAUUUCCCUGUUUGACUGGUGCUAGUGCUGCUUCCUGUUUUAUUUCUAUUUCCUGUCUACUUUCUGCUGCAUCUGCAUCCCAUCAGCCCCUAUUUGUUUUCUUUGCUACAUAGACUGCCUGCCACCGUAUGCAGGAAGCUGCUGUGCACUGUCCUUUAACAGAUAUGAUCAGACACUUUUUUUCAGUAUGUGAUUCUAGAUUUUUUGUUGUGUUUACCUCAACCUCAAACCAGCAGGAGACAGAGAGCCUGCAGUUGAGAGAGAAGUAAAAUUCAUGUUGUUUAAGC